CGGGGUUAAAACUCGAAAACCAGUAAAAUCGGUUAAACCCGGUCAAACUCGUUUAAAAACGGGUCAACUCGGAAAAAACGUUAAAAACGUAACGUUUUCCCGAGUUAAGCAAAACUUUCAACAAAAGCAGAAUUUUGAAAUGCCCUCUGUCCUCUGACUCAGCACAGCAGUCUCUUUCUUCCAUUCUUCCAUAAUCCAUCCUCUUGAAACGCUCUCUCUCCCGAUCGAAAGACCUCCUACAGUCCUAUCGAUUCCGCUCUCUCCAAAUUCAUCUUCUCAGUGGCUCAGUCCUUCCUCCUCAUUUCAUCGACUUUGAUUUUCGUGAUUUCUUACCCGAUCGAUUUCAUCAGGAAUGGAGCUUCAAUUAGGAAUGACUGAAUGAGUGUGGAAAAGAGGGAGGACUUGUACAGGUGGGACUUGGGAGGAGUUAUGGCACAUAUUCACAAAGCUCUGUUUUUAGGAGUGCUUCUGUUGAAUGAAUAUAACCUCUGUUUUUUUUUGUUGAAUCUAUGCAUCAAUGCUUAAUAUAGAAUAAAAUACAGUGCUUUGUGAUUCAAAUUGUGCUUAAUACAAAUUGUGAAUCUUCUGUCA